AGCAGGUGCGGGGCGGCG
rnacentral:miRNA from 1 species